rnacentral:rRNA from 1 species
UACGUAGGGGGCAAGCGUUGUCCGGAUUUAUUGGGCGUAAAGCGCUCGCAGGUGGUUCGUCGCGUCGUGCGUGAAAGACCCCGGCUCAACUGGGGGAGGUCGUGCGAUACGGGCGGACUGGAGGCCAGUAGGGGGAUGCGGAAUUCCGGGUGUAGUGGUGGAAUGCGCAGAUAUCAGGAGGAACACCGGUGGCGAAGGCGGGUCUCUGGGCAGUAACUGACGCUGAGGAGCGAAAGCGUGGGGAGCGAACAGG